CCUACGGGAGGCAGCAGUGGGGAAUAUUGCACAAUGGGCGAAAGCCUGAUGCAGCAACGCCGCGUGAAGGAAGAAGGGUUUCGGCUCGUAAACUUCUAUCAACAGGGACGAAAGAAAUGACGGUACCUGAAUAAGAAGCCCCCGCUAACUACGUGCCAGCAGCCGCGGGAAUACGUAGGGGGCAAGCGUUAUCCGGAAUUACUGGGUGUAAAGGGUGAGUAGGCGGCAUGGUAAGCCAGAUGUGAAAGCCUUGGGCUUAACCCGAGGAUUGCAGUUGGAACUAUCAAGCUAGAGUACAGGAGAGGAAAGCGGAAUUCCUAGUGUAGCGGUGAAAUGCGUAGAGAUUAGGAAGAACACCAGUGGCGAAGGCGGCUUUCUGGACUGAAACUGACGCUGAGGCACGAAAGCGUGGGGAGCGAACAGGAUUAGAUACCCCAGUAGUC
rnacentral:rRNA from 1 species